GCCCUUCCGGGGCCGUGGUGGACUGCCUCAGCCACUACGGCGGCAGGAGAGGAAGCCGGUGCGAUUCCGGCGCGGUCCCGCCACUGUCACCGGGGUGAACACCCCGGGAGCCAGGAACUCUCACCGCCGGUCUCGUCGAA
rfam:Streptomyces sp. CB02400 scaffold25, whole genome shotgun sequence.